rnacentral:tRNA from 1 species
GCGUCUAUAGCUCAGUGGUCAGAGCGCCGGCCCGAAAAGCCGGAGGUCGCGGGUUCGAUUCCCGUUAGGUGCACCA